rnacentral:rRNA from 1 species
UGUUCCUUAAAUAGGGACUCGUAUCAACGGCAUCACGAGGGCUAUACUGUCUCCCCUCUCCAAUCAGUGAAACUGAUCCCCCCGUGAAGAAGCGGGGAUUUAUUUAUAAGACGAGAAGACCCCAUGGAGCUUUAAACCCAACGUACACCACUUACUCAAACACCAGCUUAAUCUUAAACACUUGUACGUCGGUUUUAGGCUGGGGGGGCCACGGAGUAAAAUCAAACCUCCACAACAAAUGGGCUAACACCCUUAUCCACGACUUACUGAUCUAAGAAUCACUAAAAUGAUGUUUAAUGACCCGAUAAUUCGAUCAAUGAACCAAGUUACCCUGGGGAUAACAGCGCAAUCCACUUAAAGAGUCCAUAUCGACAAGUGGGUUUACGACCUCGAUGUUGGAUCAGGGUAUCCUAGUGGUGCAACCGCUA